rnacentral:lncRNA from 1 species
GAGAAUCUGCUUACCAGCAAUCUACAGGCAAGCAGCAUCUCUACAUAACCUGAAAGAGUAGUCAGUUGAUUCUAUAAACAGCAACUAUAAACACAUAAAUACAGAAGAAUGAACCUCGGAGUCCUGAAAACACUGCCACUAUGAAACUAUGAAAAAGGAGACAGCGAAAUAGACUUGUCAUCCUGUGCAGGUCUCUUACUAAAGCUUCCUGUUCAAAGUCUGGCUGAGAAUUUUUGCUGCUUCUUUCCCUACCUCCUCAUUUCCGAAGGAGGUACCUUUCUGGCUUCUCUGUUGAACAUUUCCUAAAUAAAGUGUGGAUGAAAAGCAAUAGAGGAAGGAAAUGCAGAAAAUUAUAAGGCUGAAAUAGAAACUGGCCACAGCAGAGAUUAAAGAACUAAGGUUAAACCAUGACCACUCCUCGAGGCCUUCCCUGGAGAUUCGGGCUCAUAGAUUCCUUCUUUCUCUGAAUUCUAAAGUACUUAUGGAAGAUUCAGCAGAUAAUUUUUAAUGAAUUAAAUUUU